AUGUUUCUGAUAGUUCUAACACUUAGCUGGAGCCCGAAUCUUAUUAGUUUCAGAUUAUGUUUCUGCACGAAUAAUUCGUUUCAGAUGUUUGGAGAGAAAAUUGGCCCUGGUAGUUGUUUCCGUAUCUCAAGUUUAUUCCCUUUAUUCCCCAAUCUGCAAGGCUGCAAUUGUCUACUUCUUUUUUCAACCUUACAUUUGGUAAAUUUGCAACUAUAUAUAGCGUCUGUAAACCGUUGCAACUAUAGGUUUUGUGCAGCACCUUUUGAUUUUCAUCAUUUGGUAAGUAGUUUAUUCGGCUUGCUAAAUCUUGUGAAAUAUUCAAAAUCGGUUGUUGGACAACCGUGCAACUUGUUUCAAAUUAUCAAAUUAGUUCGGAGCGUGAUUUUUAUGUUUGCAAUGGGAUUUUGA
rnacentral:rRNA from 1 species